GUGUUGCUCGAGGGGAGAGGUCAGCGCUGCCCUUGACAAGGAUGCAGGAGGCCCUGGGCCUGACAACGUGCACACUGUUAACACUUACUUUAC
ensembl:snRNA